UGGGGAAUUUUGGACAAUGGGGGAAACCCUGAUCCAGCCAUCCCGCGUGUGCGAUGAAGGCCUUCGGGUUGUAAAGCACUUUUGGCAGGAAAGAAACGUCAUGGGUUAAUACCCCGUGAAACUGACGGUACCUGCAGAAUAAGCACCGGCUAACUACGUGCCAGCAGCCGCGGUAAUACGUAGGGUGCAAGCGUUAAUCGGAAUUACUGGGCGUAAAGCGUGCGCAGGCGGUUCGGAAAGAAAGAUGUGAAAUCCCAGAGCUCAACUUUGGAACUGCAUUUUUAACUACCGGGCUAGAGUGUGUCAGAGGGAGGUGGAAUUCCGCGUGUAGCAGGGAAAUGCGUGGGUAUGCGGAGGAACACCGAUGGCGAAGGCAGCCUCCUGGGAUAACACUGACGCUCAUGCACGAAAGCGUGGGGAGCAAACAGG
rnacentral:rRNA from 1 species